UAUGGUAAUGUUGAAUAGUUAUUUUCACAAAAUAAAGAAUCGGUUUGAUCUUUUUCAUCGAUCUAAAUUAUUUCUAAGGUCGCAAGAAUGUUGCUGAACUUCUCAUCAAAAAAGGCGCCAAAGUUGAUAUUAGAAAUGUUGAGAAUCUAACACCUCGUCAGUUAGCUGUUAACAAUGGUCACAAUAAUGUCGCCAACCUUUUAAUCCAGGGGAAUUGAAAAUUUUGACACAUAGACACUAGCGCUGCAGUUUGCUUGUCAGUUGGUCAGUUGGUCAGCUGCACAACUAACAAUCAUGCUGGUGGAGCGGCC